rnacentral:rRNA from 1 species
UCGGCUUAGGAUGAACGCUAGCGACAGGCUUAACACAUGCAAGUCGAGGGGCAUCACGGGAGUAGCAAUACAACUGGUGGCGACCGGCGCACGGGUGAGUAACGCGUAUGCAACCGUACCUAUCAGGAGGGGAAUAACCCGGCGAAAGUCGGACUAAUACCGCAUAAAACAGGGGCACCGCAUGGUGAUAUUGUUAAAGAAAUUCGCUGAUAGAUGGGCAUGCGUUCCAUUAGGUAGUUGGUGAGGUAACGGCUCACCAAGCCGACGAUGGAUAGGGGAACUGAGAGGUUGGUCCCCCACACUGGUACUGAGACACGGACCAGACUCCUACGGGAGGCAGCAGUGAGGAAUAUUGGUCAAUGGGCGGGAGCCUGAACCAGCCAAGUCGCGUGAAGGAAGAAGGAUCUAUGGUUCGUAAACUUCUUUUGCAGGGGAAUAAAGUGCAGGACGUGUCCUGUUUUGUAUGUACCCUGAGAAUAAGGAUCGGCUAACUCCGUGCCAGCCGCCGC